AACGAACGCUGGCGGCAUGCCUAACACAUGCAAGUCCAACGGGAUCCGGACUUCGGUUCGGUGAGAGUGGCGGACGGGUGAGUAACGCGUGGGAACCUGCCCAGUGGUGGGGGAUUACUGCGGGAAACUGCAGCUAAUACCGCAUGAGCCCGAGAGGGGAAAGAUUUAUCGCCAUUGGAGGGGCCCGCGUUCGAUUAGGUAGUUGGUGAGGUAAUGGCUCACCAAGCCGACGAUCGAUAGCUGGUCUGAGAGGAUGAUCAGCCACACUGGGACUGAGAUACGGCCCAGACUCCUACGGGAGGCAGCAGUGGGGAAUAUUGGACAAUGGGGGCAACCCUGAUCCAGCAAUGCCGCGUGAGUGAUGAAGGCCUUCGGGUUGUAAAGCUCUUUUGCCAGGGACGAUGAUGACGGUACCUGGAGAAUAAGCCCCGGCUAACUUCGUGCCAGCCGCCGCUGUAAAAC
rnacentral:rRNA from 1 species